GACAUAGGUGGCGAACGUUAUCCGGAAUUAUUGGGCGUAAAGGGUGCGUAGGUGGCCCGGUCAGUUCGUGGUGAAAGCGCGGGGCUCAACCCUGCGUCGGCCAUGAAUACUGCCGCGGCUGGAGCACUGUAGAGGCAGGCGGAAUUCCGGGUGUAGCGGUGGAAUGCGUAGAGAUCCGGAAGAACACCGGUGGCGAAGGCGGCCUGCUGGGCAGUUGCUGACACUGAGGCGCGACAGCGUGGGGAGCAAACAGG
rnacentral:rRNA from 1 species